rnacentral:rRNA from 1 species
AUUGAACGCUGGCGGCAGGCCUAACACAUGCAAGUCGAACGGUAACAGGAAUCAGCUUGCUGAUUCGCUGACGAGUGGCGGACGGGUGAGUAAUGUCUGGGAGACUGCCUGAUGGAGGGGGAUAACUACUGGAAACGGUAGCUAAUACCGCAUAACGUCGCAAGACCAAAGAGGGGGACCUUCGGGCCUCUUGCCAUCGGAUGUGCCCAGAUGGGAUUAGCUAGUAGGUGGGGUAACGGCUCACCUAGGCGACGAUCCCUAGCUGGUCUGAGAGGAUGACCAGCCACACUGGAACUGAGAGACGGUCCAGACUCCUACGGGAGGCAGCAGUGGGGAAUAUUGCACAAUGGGCGCAAGCCGGAUGCAGCCAUGCCGCGUGUAUGAAGAAGGCCUUCGGGUUGUAAAGUACUUUCAGCGAGGAGGAAGGUGUUGUGGUUAAUAACCGCAGCAAUUGACGUUACUCGCAGAAGAAGCACCGGCUAACUCCGUGCCAGCAGCCGCAGUAA